rnacentral:rRNA from 1 species
CACCUCUAGCAUUACAAGUAUUAGAGGCAUCGCCUGCCCAGUGACUGUAGUUAAACGGCCGCGGUAUACUGACCGUGCAAAGGUAGCAUAAUCACUUGUUCCUUAAUUAGGGACUUGUAUGAACGGCUGAACGAGGAUCCGACUGUCUCUUAUUUUUAAUCAGUGAAAUUGACCUUCCAGUGAAGAGGCUGGAAUUACUAAAUAAGACGAGAAGACCCUAUGGAGCUUAAAUUUAUAAACUUAUUUAUUAUAAUAGUACUCCUAAUGGAACAAAAACAGUAUUAUAAGCUUAAAAUUUCGGUUGGGGUGACCUCGGAGAACAAAAAAUCCUCCGAACGAUUAUAACAUAGACCAACAAGUCAAAGUAACUUAACUUUCCAAUUGACCCAAAAAUAAUUUGAUCAACGGACCAAGUUACCCUAGGGAUAACAGCGCAAUCCUAUUUAAGAGUUCAUAUCGACAAUAGGGUUUACGACCUCGAUGUUGGAUCAGGACAUCCCAAUGGUGCAGAAGCUAUUAAUGGUUCGUUUGUUCAACGAUUAAA